UACGGAGGGGGCAAGCGUUGUUCGGAAUUAUUGGGCGUAAAGCGCGCGUAGGCGGUUGAAUAAGUCAGGCGUGAAAUCCCACGGCUUAACCGUGGAAUGGCGCAUGAAACUGUUCAGCUAGAGUUCAGGAGAGGAGAGUGGAAUUCCCAGUGUAGCGGUGAAAUGCGUAGAUAUUGGGAGGAACACCGGUGGCGAAGGCGACUCUCUGGACUGAUACUGACGCUGAGGCGCGAAAGCGUGGGGAGCAAACGGG
rnacentral:rRNA from 1 species